rnacentral:rRNA from 1 species
AUUGAACGCUGGCGGCCGGCCUAACACAUGCAAGUCGAACGAGUGGCGGACGGGGGAGUAAUGUCUGGGAAACUGCCUGAUGGAGGGGGAUAACUACUGGAAACGGUUGCUAAUACCGCAUACCAUCAAAUGUGUCCAGAUGGGAUUAGCUAGUUGGUGGGGUAACGACUCACCAAGGCGACGAUCCCGAGCUGGUCUGAGAGGAUGACCACGCACACUGGAACUGAGACACGGUCCAGAGUCUGACGGGAGGCAGCCGUUGGACAUAUUGCGCAAGGGGCGCCAGCCUGAUGCAGCGGUGCUGCGUGUAGGAAGAAGGCCUGCUGGUUGGACAGUGCUUGCAACGGGGAAGGGUUACCCGCAGAAGAAGUACCGACUAACUCCGUGCCAGCAGCCGCGGUAAUAC